rnacentral:rRNA from 1 species
UGGGGAAUAUUGGACAAUGGGCGAAAGCCUGAUCCAGCCAUGCCGCGUGUGUGAAGAAGGUCUUCGGAUUGUAAAGCACUUUAAGUUGGGAGGAAGGGCUGCAAGCUAAUACCUUGUAGUUUUGACGUUACCAACAGAAUAAGCACCGGCUAACUUCGUGCCAGCAGCCGCGGUAAUACGAAGGGUGCAAGCGUUAAUCGGAAUUACUGGGCGUAAAGCGCGCGUAGGUUGUUUGGUAAGAUGGAUGUGAAAUCCCCGGGCUCAACCUGGGAACUGCAUCCAUAACUGCCUGACUAGAGUACGGUAGAGGGUGGUGGAAUUUCCUGUGUAGCGGUGAAAUGCGUAGAUAUAGGAAGGAACACCAGUGGCGAAGGCGACCACCUGGACUGAUACUGACACUGAGGUGCGAAAGCGUGGGGAGCAAACA